GAUGAACGCUGGCGGCGUGCCUAAUACAUGCAAGUCGAGCGAACGGACGAGAAGCUUGCCUCUCUGAUGUUAGCGGCGGACGGGUGAGUAACACGUGGAUAACCUACCUAUAAGACUGGGAUAACUUCGGGAAACCGGAGCUAAUACCGGAUAAUAUUUUGAACCGCAUGGUUCAAAAGUGAAAGACGGUCUUGCUGUCACUUAUAGAUGGAUCCGCGCUGCAUUAGCUAGUUGGUAAGGUAACGGCUUACCAAGGCAACGAUGCAUAGCCGACCUGAGAGGGUGAUCGGCCACACUGGAACUGAGACACGGUCCAGACUCCUACGGGAGGCAGCAGUAGGGAAUCUUCUGCAAUGGGCGAAAGCCUGACGGAGCAACGCCGCGUGAGUGAUGAAGGUCUUCGGAUCGUAAAACUCUGUUAUUAGGGAAGAACAUAUGUGUAAGUAACUGUGCACAUCUUGACGGUACCUAAUCAGAAAGCCACGGCUAACUACGUG
rnacentral:rRNA from 1 species